rnacentral:sRNA from 1 species
ACCGGGUUCUCCCAGCGAGGUCGUAGUGGGCGACGGGGAUCCCCAAGGGUGGGCGGAGAGCUGACGGGUCGGCAGCGCUGGUUAAGGCCCCGCACCUGCUGCCCCAGUGACCUUGAACGAUUCCGCUCUGCGGCGGGUGUCCCUAAACUAGCGAUUUAGGGUGUCAGGCAUCAAGCAUGAUGGAACCAUGUGUGAUACCUGCCGCCAGCAACCGAUCAUUGGCAUUCGAUGGAAAUGUGCAGAGUGUACAAAUUAUGAUUUGUGCACAGUGUGUUAUCAUGGAGAUAAACAUCACUUAAGACAUCGCUUUUACCGAAUUACUACACCAGGAAGUGAGAGGGUUCUGUUAGAGUCUCGUAGGAAAUCUAAGAAGAUUACAGCCAGAGGAAUCUUUGCAGGUGCCAGAGUGGUGCGAGGAGUGGACUGGCAGUGGGAAGAUCAAGAUGGAGGAAAUGGACGUAGGGGAAAGGUAACAGAAAUCCAGGACUGGAGUGCAUCAAGCCCACAUAGCGCAGCAUAUGUCCUCUGGGAUAAUGGUGCUAAGAACCUUUACAGAGUUGGCUUUGAGGGCAUGUCUGAUCUGAAAUGUGUCCAGGAUGCCAAGGGAGGUUCUUUCUACAGAGAUCACUGCCCUGUGCUAGGUGAGCAGAAUGGCAACAGGAAUCCUGGUGGAUUGCAGAUUGGUGACCUGGUAAAUAUAGAUCUCGACCUAGAAAUUGUACAGUCUUUGCAGCAUGGUCAUGGAGGAUGGACUGAUGGAAUGUUUGAGACUUUAACUACAACUGGAACUGUUUGUGGCAUUGAUGAAGAUCAUGACAUUGUAGUACAGUAUCCAAGUGGCAAUAGCAAACCUGCCCAUUUUGAGGUUUAGCUUUGCUCUUGUAGGUGGACCUUCAAUCCUGCUGUUCUCACUAAAGCGAACAUUGUCCGAAGUGGAGAUGCUGCUCAAGGUGCAGAAGGAGGCACCUCUCAGUUUCAAGUGGGUGAUCUUGUACAAGUUUGUUAUGACCUGGAACGAAUUAAACUUCUACAAAGAGGACAUGGAGAAUGGGCUGAAGCGAUGCUUCCAACUUUAGGUAAAGUUGGCAGAGUACAACAGAUUUAUUCAGACAGUGAUUUAAAGGUGGAAGUUUGUGGAACAUCUUGGACAUACAAUCCAGCAGCAGUUUCCAAGGUGGCAUCUGCAGGAUCAGCCAUUAGCAAUGCAUCUGGUGAAAGACUCUCACAACUCCUGAAGAAAUUAUUUGAAACCCAAGAAUCUGGUGACCUCAAUGAAGAAUUAGUUAAGGCUGCUGCCAAUGGAGAUGUUGCUAAAGUGGAAGAUUUGCUUAAAAGACCAGAUGUGGAUGUAAAUGGGCAAUGUGCUGGCCACACAGCUAUGCAAGCUGCUAGUCAGAAUGGACAUGUUGACAUUUUGAAGUUACUUUUGAAGCAAAACGUGGAUGUCGAAGCAGAGGAUAAAGAUGGUGAUAGAGCAGUUCACCAUGCAGCUUUUGGAGAUGAAGGCGCUGUUAUAGAAGUACUACAUCGAGGUAGUGCUGAUUUGAAUGCUCGAAACAAGCGCCGACAGACACCACUUCAUAUUGCUGUCAAUAAAGGUCAUCUUCAAGUUGUGAAGACUUUAUUGGACUUUGGCUGUCAUCCCAGUCUCCAGGAUUCUGAAGGUGAUACCCCUCUUCAUGAUGCAAUAAGUAAGAAACGUGAUGAUAUCCUAGCAGUUCUUUUGGAAGCUGGAGCAGAUGUUACCAUCACAAACAAUAAUGGAUUUAAUGCUCUACAUCAUGCUGCACUAAGGGGAAAUCCCAGUGCAAUGCGUGUUUUACUAUCUAAAUUACCAAGACCAUGGAUUGUGGAUGAGAAGAAAGAUGAUGGUUAUACUGCCUUACAUCUGGCUGCCCUUAAUAAUCACGUAGAAGUGGCUGAACUGUUGGUACAUCAGGGUAAUGCAAACCUGGAUAUCCAGAAUGUGAACCAACAAACUGCCCUACACCUUGCUGUUGAACGACAGCAUACCCAAAUUGUUAGGCUUUUAGUCCGUGCAGGUGCCAAGCUUGAUAUUCAGGAUAAGGAUGGGGAUACUCCUUUGCAUGAAGCUCUAAGGCAUCACACUUUGUCUCAGCUACGUCAGCUCCAAGAUAUGCAAGAUGUGGGGAAGGUGGAUGCUGCCUGGGAGCCAUCCAAAAACACGUUAAUAAUGGGACUUGGUACCCAGGGGGCAGAGAAGAAGAGUGCAGCAUCUAUUGCCUGUUUCUUGGCAGCCAAUGGUGCUGACCUGAGCAUUCGAAAUAAGAAGGGUCAAUCGCCACUUGAUCUCUGUCCUGAUCCGAAUCUCUGCAAAGCACUGGCAAAGUGUCAUAAGGAAAAAGUCAGUGGUCAAGUGGGUUCUCGGAGUCCUUCUAUGAUUAGUAAUGAUUCUGAAACCUUAGAAGAGUGUAUGGUGUGCUCAGAUAUGAAGAGAGAUACUCUUUUUGGUCCAUGUGGACAUAUUGCUACCUGUUCUUUAUGUUCUCCACGAGUCAAGAAAUGCCUCAUCUGUAAAGAACAGGUUCAAUCCAGGACAAAGAUUGAAGAAUGUGUGGUAUGCUCUGACAAGAAAGCAGCUGUUCUUUUUCAACCCUGCGGCCACAUGUGUGCUUGUGAGAACUGUGCUAACCUGAUGAAAAAGUGUGUGCAGUGUCGAGCAGUAGUUGAACGAAGAGUGCCUUUCAUUAUGUGCUGUGGAGGGAAAAGUUCAGAAGAUGCCACUGAUGAUAUCUCAAGUGGGAAUAUUCCAGUAUUACAAAAGGACAAGGAUAAUACCAAUGUCAAUGCAGAUGUGCAAAAGUUGCAGCAACAGUUACAAGACAUUAAAGAGCAGACAAUGUGCCCUGUGUGUCUGGAUCGUCUGAAGAAUAUGAUUUUCCUCUGUGGUCACGGAACCUGUCAGCUCUGUGGAGACCGCAUGAGUGAAUGUCCUAUCUGUCGCAAGGCUAUUGAACGAAGGAUUCUUUUGUAUUAACUAAGACACAUGGUGUAUUUUGUUAGCUAAUGUAUCUAGUCAUGAGAUCUUAAUAGGCUUUUGAUCUAGUUGGAAGUUCUGAUGAGUUAAUUUCUAAUAUCAUAGUUUCUUUACUAGAGUAUAAUUGGGCUGUAAAUGUACCAGAACAAAAAACCCUACAAAAUGGUGUUGGAAAUUGUGUUUUUUGUUUUUGUUUUAAAUUUGAAACAUCAAAUUCAUGUAACUCAUAGGAUAAUUUACCUUUGGCUUCUAAGAGGAAAGUCCUUUAAGGAUAUCCUUUUUUAAAAAAUUGCAUUUUUCCCUUAUAA